CGUGAACCUGUGGCUCAAAGAUCCCCACACGCCGCUGCACCCCACCAAGGAACAGCGGGAACCGUUUGCCCACCUGCCCGAACCCCAGCAAACCUAUUACUCGGUGAUUCACAAUGCCGACCGGCAGAUUGGCCGGCUGCUCGAUGCGCUUGACGAAAUGGGUGCAGGCGACAACACGCUGGUGAUCUUCACCAGCGACAAUGGCCCCGAGGUGAUUCGGGAGCAAGCUGGGACCUACGGGAGCGUCUUGGACCUGCGGGGCCGCAAGCACUGCAUGUUUGACGGCGGCAUACGAGUUCCCUUCAUCGCCCGGUGGCCGGGUCAGACCAAGGUGGGCAAGG
rnacentral:rRNA from 1 species